UUCUAGGGACUAAACAUAUGAAGUAUCUUUAUCUUAGUCCUCAAUUUUGAAGUAAAAUAUUGUUUACUUGUUUCUGUCUGUUGUCUAAAGGAUGAAGGUGUUUGGUGAGGUGUUCAGCGUUCUGUCUGAGGAACAGAGGAAUGCGAUAAUAGGGUGGAUCAAAGAGAGAGUUGCACUAAAUGAAUUUAAAUGCCUUCUGAAAGCACCUGCCUUUAGCAUCCAGCCUUCUGGAUCACUGCAAAAACCUAUCAUCCAAAAUGGCCCAUCAGUCAAAGCAGUGAUGACUGUGAUGAAUGUACUAGGAGCUCAAGGGAUUCAACAUCCAAUGAUGAAUGGUAAAUGGGAAAGAAGUCAAUGAAAGAACUGAAAAACUGAAAUGGAAUGGCAAAGUGGUGAAGAAGAGGAAACAUUAGUAAAGAAAAGCAAAAUACAAAGACAGACAAGCGUAUUUCAGAACGUAAAGAUUUAUACUUUAGAUAGAACUGUAAUGCUACAGUGGAUCAUGAACAGAAGAAUGAAGUAAGCGAAACACCAAAGAUAAACAAUGCAGAAAUACAAAGAGAGGAGAUUAAUUAUAUUUAGUAGAUAUAUGAAUUAUUGAUUAUUGAUAAGUCUUAUUUAUGCACUUUAUACCCUUUUUUUUUUAGCUUCAACAUCGGUCCAUAUAUGUCCUUCCAGAAUGCCCUGGCUGAACGCUACAGUGUUAACAAUGAUGGGGCCUUUUCUAUCUCGACUGUCUUUAGAAGAAGCAAAGACCAUCCCUAAAGAUGAGGUCAGAGUCUGUCACAUGAUAUGCAAUCCAAUGCCAUAAUUCAUAUGUGCAUUGCUCCAUUACCUUUGUGUCUCAGAGCAUUCCAUACAUAAUAUAAAUUCAAAACCACCUAUAACUCUGCAAAUAACUACAGUAAUCUUUCUCUUUGUCAGCUAUGUGAGUUUUUUAAGACUCCAGAAUUCUCUCCAUCAUUUCAAAAUGUUAAUGGAAUACAGCCUGCCCUUGGCCGAACACUUUUUCAACGCUUGAAACAAGAGUGUUCCAGCAGCGACAAUUUCACUCAAAACCUGGACAGGUCAGGGUUUCCAUCAUUAGUGUGUGUUUAGUGCAUAUGUUUGGUAAAAGAUAUUUAGGUUAUCAGCAUUUAUGCACCGGUUCCUCUGGAA
rnacentral:lncRNA from 12 species